AACGAACGCUGGCGGCAGGCUUAACACAUGCAAGUCGAACGCACCUUCGGGUGAGUGGCAGACGGGUGAGUAGCGCGUGGGAACCUACCCAUUGGUACGGAAUAACCCGGGGAAACCCGAGCUAAUACCGUAUACGCCCCCAGGCUCAGGUUUGGGGGGAAAGAUUCAUCGCCGAUGGAUGGGCCCGCGUCGGAUUAGCUAAUUGGUGUGGUAACGGCGCACCAAGGCGACGAUCCGUAGCUGGUCUGAGAGGAUGAUCAGCCACACUGGGACUGAGACACGGCCCAGACUCCUACGGGAGGCAGCAGUGGAGAAUAUUGGACAAUGGGCGCAAGCCUGAUCCAGCCAUGCCGCGUGAGUGAAGAAGGCCUUAGGGUUGUAAAUCUCUUUCGGCGGGGAAGAUAAUGACGGUACCCGCAGAAGAAGCCCCGGCUAACUCCGUGCCAGCAGCCGCGGUAAUACGGAGGGGGCUAGCGUUGUUCGGAAUUACUGGGCGUAAAGGGCACGUAGGCUGGCUGUUAAGUCGGGGGUGAAAUCCUGAGGCUCAACCUCAGAAUUGCCUCCGAUACUGGCGGUCUUGAGUGCGGGAGAAGUGAAUGGAAUUCCCAGUGUAGAGGUGAAAUUCG
rnacentral:rRNA from 1 species